UACGGGAGUGGCAAGCGUUAUCCGGAAUUAUUGGGCGUAAAGCGUCCGCAGGCGGUCUUACAAGUCUGUCGUUAAAGCGUGGAGCUUAACUCCAUUUCGGCGAUGGAAACUGUAAGACUAGAGUGUGGUAGGGGCAGAGGGAAUUCCCGGUGUAGCGGUGAAAUGCGUAGAUAUCGGGAAGAACACCAGUGGCGAAGGCGCUCUGCUGGGCCAUAACUGACGCUCAUGGACGAAAGCUAGGGGAGCGAAAGGG
rnacentral:rRNA from 1 species